rnacentral:ncRNA from 1 species
GUUUCAUCCAUUGAUCAGGCCCAGGGGAGCCGGGUCGCGGAUGCGGCAGCAGAAAUUUGUGAUCUGCGGGACAGGC